rnacentral:tRNA from 1 species
GCCCCUGUAGCACAACGGAUAGCGCAUCGGUUUCCGGAACCGGCGGUUGCAGGUUCGAUUCCUGCCAGGGGCG